UUAAUUAAUUGAAGCCAAAUAAGAGGCGUAUUACUGUUAAUAAUAUAAUUGAACUAUAAGUUCCAAUUAAG
rnacentral:tRNA from 1 species